GAUGAACGCUGGCGGCGUGCCUAAUACAUGCAAGUCGAGCGAAUGGAUUAAGAGCUUGCUCUUAUGAAGUUAGCGGCGGACGGGUGAGUAACACGUGGGUAACCUGCCCAUAAGACUGGGAUAACUCCGGGAAACCGGGGCUAAUACCGGAUAACAUUUUGAACCGCAUGGUUCGAAGUUGAAAGGCGGCUUCGGCUGUCACUUAUGGAUGGACCCGCGUCGCAUUAGCUAGUUGGUGAGGUAACGGCUCACCAAGGCAACGAUGCGUAGCCGACCGGGGAGGGGGAUCGGCCACACUGGGCAUGAGACACGGCCCAGACUCCUACGGGAGGCAGCAGUAGGGAAUCUUCCGCAAUGGACGAAAGUCUGACGGAGCAACGCCGCGUGAGUGAUGAAGGCUCUCGGGUCGUAAAACUCUGUUGUUAGGGAAGAACAAGUGCUAGUUGAAUAAGCUGGCACCUUGACGGUACCUAACCAGAAAGCCACGGCUAACUACGUGCCAGCAGCCGCCGUAA
rnacentral:rRNA from 1 species